rnacentral:rRNA from 1 species
AAGUCUCCCCUGUAGUGUGAGGUCAGCUUGGUAACCGAUGGAUGACCUAACUAUUCGAGUGGAUCGAGUGUGAAGCUACGCAUAGUCAUCGCUGGAGUACGGUCGCAGACUGAACUAAAAGGAUGACGGGACCCGCACAAAGUAGUGGAGCAUGUGGUUUAAUUCGAAGCUACGCGGAAAACUUUACCAGAACUUGACAUGAUGACUAUACGCCGGGCAAUGCCGGGCUACUUACUACAUCACAGGUGGUGCAUGGUUGUCGUCAGCUCGUGUCGUGAGAUGUUAGGUUAAGUCCUGCAACGAGCGCAACCCUUGUCGUUAGUUACGAAGUUCAGUUGGGACUCUAGCGAGACUGCCGAUGUAAAUCGGAGGAAGGUGGGGAUGACGUCAAAUCAGCAUGCCCUUUAUGUCCUGGGCAACACACGUGCUACAAUGGCCGUUACAAAGAGUCGCGAUGCCGCGAAAGCGGAGCUAAUCUCAAAAAGGCGGUCUCAGUUCAGAUUGGAGUCUGCAAUUCGACUCCAUGAAGGCGGAAUUACUAGUAAUCGCGAAUCAGCAUGUCGCGGUGAAUACGUUCCCGGGGUUUGUACACACCGCCCGUCAAACCAUGAGAGGUGGUAACGCUUGAAGCCGCUGUCCUAACCGCAAGGAGGGAGGCGUCUAGGGUGGGACCGCUGAUUGGGGUUAAGUCGUAACAAGG